AUCUUUGCACGUGGUAACCAUUCACUCUCCUUAUUCUUCUUCUUCUUCUUCUCAUCUCUCUCUCUCUCUCUCUCUCUCUCUCAUGUUGCAGCCAUCUCCAGUCCAUGGCAACAACAGCAGUACUUUUCCACUUGCUCGCUCUAUCAGAUUAGCAAUCCGCUGCUCAUUGUUAGGGCUUAAAGAGUAUCGGCCAUGACCUUCUAUUACGGAUGGUCUCUAUAUGUGUUUAGCUUCAUCUCACUUAAAUGGCGAGACUGAAAUCUCAUAUCUGUAAGAAAGGUGCAACAAAUUGGUUUUCUUUGUUAACUUUAGGGAAUUGAUUCUUUUCUUAUGUUUGGUUGUUUCUUGAUUUUGUUUUUAGGCUCUUACAUGCCCCUUUUUGUAAGGCAGAUCUAAAUUUUGGGGUUAACCUUUGAAGGUUAGAAACUUCGAAUGUAACUUUCAUAUUUUUCAAAAAAGAUGAGUUCUUUUUAUGAUCACUGGAUUAGGCAAAGUUGGGAUAAUUUAGAUUAGUAACUAGGAUUUCAAAAUAGGUUCAACAUUGUUCUUUACCUUCCCUAAAAGUGUGCUGGGUUCUUCCAGAAACAUGAGAAAGGCUGGUGGGUUUUAAUUAAACAAUUUCAAGUCAUGUUUUUAUAAAUUGUGUUGGGUUUGGGGUUCUGACCUUAUAAGUCAUGUGAAUUUGUGUGGGUCUUUGGUAUUUUCUUUUUGUUAUCCAAUAGAUUUUUGCUGAAAUGGUUAGCAAUUUAUAUUUUUUUCUUUUAAGACUUUUAACUUUUGUUGUUUCUAUUAUCUAUAGAUGUAAGACAGAUAGUUGGAAAACAAAAGAGAAGCCUAAUUGGUUUCUGUUGAUGCAAGAGAUGUUGCCUUGUUGGGUCUGAAUUUUUGUUUGCAGAAAGGACUUGUCGUAAGGACAUCACAAAUCAGGGGUCAUUGGAUCUUUCACAUCAUUAGAGAAGGUUUGCGGACGAGUUUAUCAGUACUUAGUUGAAGUGAUCAAGUUGGAAGAGUUGCAAGUAAAUUACUUCAUAUCUUAUCAUGUGUGAUGUUUUGUACCAUACUACAUUUCAAUGUUAUAUGCUUGUUCUUGCUAUGGACUUCACAUGUGUAUAUUGCUCAAUUUCACAGCUUGUGCUUGUCCAGCUAGUGUGAUUUUAGACUUUGAUUUUCAUAUGGUUUUUGGGUGUGCAAGUAAGUUUCAAUUGAUUUGUUAUAUGCUUUACAGAAGUAGAUGUUCUUAUCAAGCAUUUUUUGGUAGUGUGGGUCUACUGGUUUUGUUGCAGAUCUUAUGUCAUAUCUAGUUUUUUAUUCUUUUCUACUUUUGUAACAACAUAAGUAAUCUAACACCAAUUUUAAUAUCCUUGUAGCUCAAAAAUUGGGCACUUAAUUUUCUAAUAAGAAACAUGGCUGUUCUUAUCUAGCUCUAUUCUUUUGGCAGUGGAAAACUAGUUCACAAGGUCCAAUGACUAGCUAGGCAUAAAUUGACGUUUGACUAGGAGUUUAACAAAGAAGUUGCUACUGAAGUAAUCUAGCUAUUUGCAAGUUUUGUAAUUAACCAAGUAGUAGAAAAGUUUGAAGUUGAAGGUGGUGUUAUAUUCAUGGCAACUCCAGUUGAUCUGUUGCAACUGGAUUUCUGGUGCUCAUAUGUUUCAUUAAUUUUCAAAAGUUGAAGUUGUCACCAGAGCUUAAGCAGAAGUUGAAGUCGUCACCGGAGCUUAACCAGAACUUGAAGUCAUUUAGUAGAAAUGCUCAAGUCAUGAUAACGAGGCCAUCAUAUAAAGAAAUCCUAUAUUCCUUCUUGUGAAAUAUUCCUUUACUUGUUCCAGUGUGUAAGUCUUUGGAUUGGUGGUUUAAUGAACUUCGUUGGAGUUAUUUUGCUAUGUAUUGCUGUUUGGUAUGCAUUCCUUUGUGGCAGUUGAUGGAAAUAUCAAAUAUGUAGUUUGCAGCUAUGAAAAAAAAAAAAAUUUGAUCAA